GACCCCCAGACAUGCCCGCCGCGUCCGUCGGCGACAUGCCCAGGUAGCUCUCGAUCUUCAAGGCUACGGCGCGGCGCGACCGCGCUGAUCGAAACCCCCGUUCGCUUCGCAUCGCUUGCCGCGAACAGCCACCGUACAAGCGGUGGCGGAUGC
rfam:Azoarcus aromaticum EbN1 complete genome